rnacentral:rRNA from 1 species
CGGGGUGAGUAACGCGUGGAUAACCUGCCGCAUACCGGGGGAUAACAGCUGGAAACAGCUGCUAAUACCGCAUAUGCCCGCAGUGCUGCAUGGCACAGCGGGGAAAACUCCGGUGGUAUGCGAUGGGUCCGCGUCUGAUUAGGCAGUUGGCGGGGUAACGGCCCACCAAACCGACGAUCAGUAGCCGGCCUGAGAGGGCGGACGGCCACACUGGGACUGAGACACGGCCCAGACUCCUACGGGAGGCAGCAG